AGUACUCGAGUGGCGAACGGGUGAGUAACACGUGGGUAAUCUGCCCUGCACUCUGGGAUAAGCUUGGGAAACUGGGUCUAAUACUGGAUAUGACCUUUCUCCUUAUGGGGUUUGGUGGAAAGUUUUUCGGUGUAGGAUGAGCCCGCGGCCUAUCAGCUUGUUGGUGGGGUGAUGGCCUACCAAGGCGACGACGGGUAGCCGGCCUGAGAGGGUGAUCGGCCACAUUGGGACUGAGAUACGGCCCAG
rnacentral:rRNA from 1 species